CUUGCAAGAGGCAGCCAUCUUGGCCUGCCUGUAUAUCGUGAGAAACAUACUUGAGAGCUAAACUAGGUAAAUCUCUCACGACUCUCUCGCGGAAAUGGCAGAAAAGGUUGCCCUGUGCAAACCGAGUACUGCAUAGAUGGAGCCCUCGCAUUACGUAAGGGGAGUCUUCUAGAAGUUAAAAUCAGUUGCUGAUACAGUUGGUGGCUUUUCAUUGUCAGUUUUUUAUUGUGGUUUCAGCAUUGUCCUUUUGUUUAACGCAGUGUAGAUUUUAUAAGAUAAACGUACGAAGCUCGAGGCGUUUUUAAGACUGAACAAUUGUGUAUUCAUUCAGUUCCAGCCCGCUGAUGUACUUUUUGGGUAUCUUGUAAUCAUCUGCAAUGAUAUAUAAAUAUUUAGUUUUUGUCGCUUUGUGUUGUGAACUCCCCAAAUUCGAAGGGAGACUGGUAACUCGCCUGAAAUCAAGGAGAAUGUCGCGGUAGAGCACUUGCUGCUCGAGGGGCGGAUCCGAGAUUAUUUCUAGGAGGUGGUGCACCAUCAAGCAUUUUCGUUUUAGGAGGGAGUGCACCCUUUGCUUACGAAUUCAAACACCAACAAUCCAGUAGAUAUCAGCUCAUCUAGGGAGGGGGGAGGUUGCGCUCCCCCGGCACCCCUCCCCUAGAUCCACCACAGCGCUCACCUCUAAGGUCUCGAGCUUGAUUUUUGUCAUCACAUGUAAGUAGAGUUUUUGGGUCUCUCCCUUGAUCAAGGGAUUUUCUUCCUCCGCAGAACAUAACAAGCUUAACUCCGAUACAAUCUGCCCUGACUUAGAUCAGCCAAGAGUUUUUUCAGAGUUCGAUAAAUUACUUAAGACAUAAAGGUAGUGCUUACCAAGUAAAGCUGUUGCAACAAGAGAGACUUGAUUGCCUUGUACCAUUACCUGCAUACCAGGUGUCUUGUGUUUACCAGGAAGUUGGUUCACUGUUAGCAAUGAACAACAUAUUAUUAAAAAUUGAAAUGUU